CAAAAUUGACCUUCUCUCUCUCCCUUUCCUUUCUCUCUCCAUUCACCCACCACCACCACCACUAACUCCAUUGCCAUUUCCAAACCCAGACCCUUACAAGAUUCAAUUAAGCUUCAAAAUGCGUUGGUGUUGGUGGUGGCAAGUGUAUUGGUGGUAACUCCAAAUUUAAUAGAUUACUUUCCCUAAACUAUAUAUAUAUAUAUAUAACUUUGGAUAUACAUAUAUACGCACUGGUAGGAAGUUGAAGGAACCCCACUUGUAGGAAAUUAAACAAACCUUAAUGAAGUUUGAAACCCACUAAGCACCAUAACCAUUACCACCACCACCAAGCACUAUCACCUUUACUGCCUCCUCUACAAUCACAGCCACCACCAUCAUUAAUUUCUUUCUUUUUUUAAUUUUAAGCUUGAUUCAAAUCUGUCAGUUUUAAGGCAUUUGAAUCUGAAGAUAUGAAUUUUUUUUUGUUCCUCCACCCUUGAAAUUUAAAGGCCUCUACAUCACCUGUACGGAAGAACAUCAUUGAUCAGGCUGGUAAACAGAGAUGACGCGCCAACUACUUGGUGGGUCCUAAUCUGGCUUUGCUUCGUCUCCGUCGUCAGCUCCGGCAUCUUCAACCUCAUCGGAAAAUAAGCUCACAACACUGUCGGACCCUCUCUGUGCUGCUCUCGUAAGUUUCUUUUGGAGUCUAUAAUUGUUGAUCAGCAUUUGGCAGCAAUUUGUGGAGGUAGAGAGAAGAAGAGAGAUGGUGGGAUGGUGGUGUGGUGGUUGCUGCGGCGGCCAUGGAGUGGUUGGAAAGAAAACAAAAUCUGACAUAAAAGAGAGAAAAUAGUGGGGUUGCAAAAUAGUGUAAAGGGCAAAAUUGUCAUUUGACUUACUCAAAUAUUUUGACAUUUUUAGUAAUAUAAUAAUGAGGGUAGAUAAGUAAAUUUACAACAAAAUCUGACUUGGGGAGGUGUUUGCAAAAAUAUGGCAAACUUCAGAUUUAGUUACAUAUAGUCCAAACCUCAAACCUCAUGGGAGAUCAUUGUAAUUUGCCCUAAUUAUAAUACAAUAAUGUCAGUUAAGUUAA